GACGAACGCUGGCGGCGUGCUUAACACAUGCAAGUCGAGCGGAAAGGCCCUUUCGGGGGUACUCGAGCGGCGAACGGGUGAGUAACACGUGAGUAAUCUGCCCUGGACUCUGGGAUAGCCACCGGAAACGGUGAUUAAUACCGGAUAUGACACCUUGCUGCAUGGUGGGGUGUGGAAAGUUCUUUCGGUCCAGGAUGUGCUCGCGGCCUAUCAGCUUGUUGGUGAGGUAAUGGCUCACCAAGGCUUUGACGGGUAGCCGGCCUGAGAGGGUGACCGGUCACACUGGGACUGAGACACGGCCCAGACUCCUACGGGAGGCAGCAGUGGGGAAUAUUGGACAAUGGGCGGAAGCCUGAUCCAGCAACGCCGCGUGAGGGAUGACGGCCUUCGGGUUGUAAACCUCUUUCAGUACCGACGAAGCGUGAGUGACGGUAGGUACAGAAGAAGGACCGGCCAACUACGUGCCAGCAGCCGCCGCGGUAA
rnacentral:rRNA from 1 species